UACAGAGGGUGCAAGCGUUAAUCGGAAUUACUGGGCGUAAAGCGUGCGUAGUCGGUUAUUUAAGUCGGAUGUGAAAUCCCCGGGCUCAACCUGGGAAUUGCAUUCGAUACUGGAUAGCUAGAGUUCGGCAGAGGGAAGCGGAAUUUCGGGUGUAGCGGUGAAAUGCGUAGAUAUCCGAAGGAACAUCAGUGGCGAAAGCGGCUUCCUGGACCAGAACUGACGAUCAGGCACGAAAGCGUGGGGAGCAAACAGG
rnacentral:rRNA from 1 species